UUGGAAUAAAUAUACCCAUGUUUGUUAUAAGGUUGACAUGAAAUUAUUCCUGGAUAUAAAGUUUCCUUGGAAUAAAAUAACUUCCAAUAACUUCUCUUAUUCCCAUGAUUUUAUUCCCAAGGAAAUGGGUGGGAAAGAAAAGUUCCCAUGAAAAUGGGAAUACAUUUUAAAUAACUUCCAAUAACUUCUCUUUUACCCACUUUUAUCAGUAAUUCCUAGGAAUGUAGUUAAUAUGAACCAAACCUGUUUUUUUUAAAAUACCUGGGAAUAAAGUUCCUAUUAUUAUUUCCUGAGAAUAUGAUUCCUGGGAGUAAAAUUAACAACCUUGAAACAAACGCCCCCUA
rnacentral:lncRNA from 1 species